GACGAACGCUGGCGGCGUGCUUAACACAUGCAAGUCGAGCGAUGAAGUUCCUUCGGGAACGGAUUAGCGGCGGACGGGUGAGUAACACGUGGGUAACCUGCCUCAUAGAGGGGAAUAGCCUUCCGAAAGGAAGAUUAAUACCGCAUAAGAUUGUAGUAUCGCAUGAUACAGCAAUUAAAGGAGUAAUUCGCUAUGAGAUGGACCCGCGUCGCAUUAGCUAGUUGGUGAGGUAACGGCUCACCAAGGCGACGAUGCGUAGCCGACCUGAGAGGGUGAUCGGCCACAUUGGGACUGAGACACGGCCCAGACUCCUACGGGAGGCAGCAGUGGGGAAUAUUGCACAAUGGGGGAAACCCUGAUGCAGCAACGCCGCGUGAGUGAUGACGGUCUUCGGAUUGUAAAGCUCUGUCUUCAGGGACGAUAAUGACGGUACCUGAGGAGGAAGCCACGGCUAACUACGUGCCAGCCGCCGCCGUAA
rnacentral:rRNA from 1 species